rnacentral:lncRNA from 1 species
CUCGGCCCCCCUCCUGCCGCCGCCACCGGACGGCAGCGCCGUCGCCGGAGGCCGGUGGCUUCGCCUCCCCCUGUCCUCUCCUCAACCUCUCUCCCUCUUCCUCAUCUCUCGCCCCCUCUGCCCUUCUCCUCGCCGCGCCUUGCCGCGGCCAUCUCCCUUCUCCGGUGACUCCCGCCGCCUUGUCAGUGCCUACCACUCCUCUCAUCUCUCCCUCUUCUGGUCGACGGCAGCUGCCACCAUCGCCGCCUCCGCGUUGACAGCAGCACAGCCCAGUCGCCGCCUCCCCUUUUCUAGAUCUAGUGCCGCCCAACCGCCGUCGCCGCCUCCCUGCCCUCUAUCCACCGGCGCCGUGGCGCAGGCAGCGCUUGGCGGCCCGUCCAGUCACCUCCCUCGCUUCACCGGUUAUCCAGCAUCCCUUCACCCAAUUCUCCCUCAUCACCACUCUAC